CCUACGGGGCGCAGCAGUGAGGAAUAUUGGUCAAUGGGCGCGAGCCUGAACCAGCCAAGUCGCGUGAGGGAAGACGGUCCUAUGGAUUGUAAACCUCUUUUGUCGGGGAGCAAAAGACGCCACGCGUGGCGUUCCGAGAGUACCCGAAGAAAAAGCAUCGGCUAUAUCCGUGCCAGCAGCCGCGGUAAUACGGAGGAUGCGAGCGUUAUCCGGUUUUUUUGGGUUUAAAGGGUGCGCAGGCGGCAGAUCAAGUGCGCGGUAAAAUUGAGAGGCUCAACCUCGUCGAGCCGUUGAAACUGGUUUGCUUGAGUGAGUGAGAAGUAUGCGGAAUGCGUGGUGUAGCGGUGAAAUGCAUAGAUAUCACGCAGAACUCCGAUUGCGAAGGCAGCAUACCGGCGCUCAACUGACGCUCAUGCACGAAAGUGUGGGUAUCGAACAGGAUUAGAUACCCCGAGUAGUC
rnacentral:rRNA from 1 species